rnacentral:rRNA from 1 species
UCGAGAAUUUUUGACAAUGGGGGAAACCCUGAUCGAGCGACGCCGCGUGGAGGAUGAAGGUCUUCGGGUUGUAAACUCCUGUCAUUUGGGAACAAGCGGCUUACGUUAACUGCGUGAGCCUUGAUAGUACCAGAAGAGGAAGGGACGGCUAACUCUGUGCCAGCAGCCGCGGUAAUACAGAGGUCUCAAGCGUUGUUCGGAUUCAUUGGGCGUAAAGGGUGUGUAGGUGGCGCCGUAAGUGGGGUGUGAAAUUUCGGAGCUUAACUCCGAAACUGCAUUCCAUACUGCGGUGCUUGAGGACUGGAGAGGAGACUGGAAUUUACGGUGUAGCAGUGAAAUGCGUAGAUAUCGUAAGGAAGACCAGUGGCGAAGGCGGGUCUCUGGACAGUUCCUGACACUGAGACACGAAGGCCAGGGGAGCAAACGGGAUUAGAUACCCGCGUAGUCC